rnacentral:rRNA from 1 species
CUCAAGCGGGGUAGGUGUGUGACAGGCAAAUCCGUCACAUAAGCCGAAGACGUGAUGUGGAGCGAAAUUAAGUAGUGAAGUAUGUGAGCCAUGUGCCGAGAAAAGCCGCUAUUGUUUUAUAUGUGCCCGUACCGUAAACCGACACAGGUGGAUGAGGAGAGAAUCCUAAGGCCGACGGAAGAAGCAUUGUUAAGGAAUUCGGCAAAAUGACCCCGUAACUUCGGGAGAAGGGGUGCCCACUGAAUGGUGGGCCGCAGAGAAUAGGCUCAAGCAACUGUUUAGCAAAACACAGGUCUAUGCGAAACCGAAAGGUGUAGUAUAUGGGCUGACGCCUGCCCGGUGCUGGAAGGUUAAGAGGAGAGGUUAGCGCAAGCGAAGCUUUGAAUUUAAGCCCCAGUAAACGGCGGCCGUAACCAUAACGGUCCUAAGGUAGCGAAAUUCCUUGUCGGGUAAGUUCCGACCCGCACGAAAGGCGUAAUGAUUUGAGCACUGUCUCGACAAUGCAUCCGGUGAAAUUGAAGUACCAGUGAAGAUGCUGGUUACCCGCGCCAGGACGGAAAGACCCCAUGGAGCUUUACUCCAGUUUGAUACUGGGAUUCGGUACUGCACGUACAGGAUAGGUGGGAGACUGAGAACUAUGGACGCCAGUCUGUAGGGAGUCGCUGUUGGGAUACCACCCCUGUAGUACUGGGUUUCUAACCAUCUGCCGUGAUCCGGCAGUGGGACAAUGUCAGGCGGGGAGUUUGACUGGGGCGGUCGCCUCCGAAAGGGUAUCGGAGGCGCUCAAUGGUUCCCUCAGAAUGGUCGGAAACCAUUUGAAGAGUGCAAAGGCAGAAGGGAGCUUGACUGCGACACCGACGGGUGGAGCAGGUACGAAAGUAGGACUUAGUGAUCCGGUGGUAUAAAGUGGGAUUGCCAUCGCUCAACGGAUAAAAGCUACCCUGGGAUAACAGGCUUAUCACUCCCAAGAGUUCACAUCGACGGAGUGGUUUGGCACCUCGACGUCGGCUCAUCGCAUCCUGGGGCUGUAGCAGGUCCCAAGGGUUGGGCUGUUCGCCCAUUAAAGCGGUACGCGAGCUGGGUUCAGAACGUCGUGAGACAGUUCGGUCCCUAUCCGGCGCGGGCGGAGGAUAUUUGAGAGGAGCUGUCCUUAGUACGAGAGGACCGGGAUGGACGGACCACUGGUGUAUCUGUUGUCGACCAACGGCAUGGCAGAGUAGCCAAGUCUGGAAGGGAUAAACGCUGAAGGCAUCUAAGCGUGAAGCCCCCCUCAAGAUGAGAUAUCCCUCCUUCGGGAGUAAGACCCCUUGAAGACUACAAGGUAGAUAGGGCAGAGGUGGAAGUGUGGCAACACAUGGAGCUGACUGUUACUAAUAGGUCGAGGGCUC